rnacentral:rRNA from 1 species
AUUGAACGCUGGCGGCAGGCUUAACACAUGCAAGUCGAGCGGGGGAAGGUAGCUUGCUACCGGACCUAGCGGCGGACGGGUGAGUAAUGCUUAGGAAUCUGCCUAUUAGUGGGGGACAACAUCUCGAAAGGGAUGCUAAUACCGCAUACGUCCUACGGGAGAAAGCAGGGGAUCUUCGGACCUUGCGCUAAUAGAUGAGCCUAAGUCGGAUUAGCUAGUUGGUGGGGGAAAGGCCUACCAAGGCGACGAUCUGUAGCGGGUCUGAGAGGAUGAUCCGCCACACUGGGACUGGGACACGGCCCAGACUCCUACGGGAGGCAGCAGUGGGGAAUAUUGGACAAUGGGGGGAACCCUGAUCCAGCCAUGCCGCGUGUGUGAAGAAGGCCUUAUGGUUGUAAAGCACCUUAAGCGAGGAGGAGGCUACUCUAGUUAAUACCUAGGGAUAGUGGACGUUACUCGCAGAAUAAGCACCGGCUAACUCUGUGCCAGCCGCCGCCGUAA